rnacentral:ncRNA from 1 species
UGUCUUCAGGGCAGGGUGACUUAAAGUGCUUCGCACUUUUAGAAUUCCCGAUCGGCGGUAUAGUCCGCGAGCGUGUAAGCGCAGGUGCUUUCGAGCACAGGAUUUGGUGAAAUUCCAAAACCGACAGUAUAGUCUGGAUGAAAGAAGGCG